rnacentral:rRNA from 1 species
UAGGGAAUCUUCGGCAAUGGACGGAAGUCUGACCGAGCAACGCCGCGUGAGCGAAGAAGGUUUUCGGAUCGUAAAGCUCUGUUGUAAGAGAAGAACGAGUGUGAGAGUGGAAAGUUCACACUGUGACGGUAUCUUACCAGAAAGGGACGGCUAACUACGUGCCAGCAGCCGCGGUAAUACGUAGGUCCCGAGCGUUGUCCGGAUUUAUUGGGCGUAAAGCGAGCGCAGGCGGUUAGAUAAGUCUGAAGUUAAAGGCUGUGGCUUAACCAUAGUACGCUUUGGAAACUGUUUAACUUGAGUGCAAGAGGGGAGAGUGGAAUUCCAUGCGUAGCGGUGAAAUGCGUAGAUAUAUGGAGGAACACCGGUGGCGAAAGCGGCUCUCUGGCUUGUAACUGACGCUGAGGCUCGAAAGCGUGGGGAGCAAACAGGAUUAGAUACCCUGGUAGUCCACGCCGUAAACGAUGAGUGCUAGGUGUUAGACCCUUUCCGGGGUUUAGUGCCGCAGCUAACGCAUUAAGCACUCCGCCUGGGGAGUACGACCGCAAGGUUG